CACAAUUUUAUGCCAAAUUAAAAUCAAGAAAUUUUGGAUGAACUUCCUCUAAUUUGAUGAGUGAGCAUUAAGUAAACAUCUUUAACACAAUACCCUUUUGCCUGACCAAUUUGCCAAGACCACUUAUCAAUAUGAUUAUUCUGCUAAACAAUAUUAACAAGCAAAACACAACAAUCUUUCCAUAAUUCUUCCUCCCAGACAAACAACCUCUUCCUCCAAUCCCAUCCUCCACCCACCAAACUACAACCUAACCUAUUCAUUUCAGCAACUGUUACAUUUUUAUUAAUAAAAAUGCUAAUAAGUCUAUCAAAAUGUUCCCAAAACAAACCUCCAAUCAACCAAUGAUCUUUCCAAAAUAAAGUAUUUUCACCAGUAUUGCUACUCUCAUUGCAUUACUAUUAAACCAAUCAUCUCCCCACGCUACUAAACCUACACACCUUUUGAUUAUCUUCCCACCACAUUGAUU
rnacentral:lncRNA from 1 species